rnacentral:rRNA from 1 species
AGCGAACGCUGGCGGCAGGCCUAACACAUGCAAGUCGAACGAAGUCUUCGGACUUAGUGGCGGACGGGUGAGUAACACGUGGGAACGUGCCCUUUGGUACGGAAUAACUCAGGGAAACUUGAGCUAAUACCGUAUGUGCCCUUCGGGGGAAAGAUUUAUCGCCAUUGGAGCGGCCCGCGUCUGAUUAGCUAGUUGGUGAGGUAAAGGCUCACCAAGGCGACGAUCAGUAGCUGGUUUGAGAGGAUGAUCAGCCACAUUGGGACUGAGACACGGCCCAAACUCCUACGGGAGGCAGCAAUGGGGAAUCUUGCGCAAUGGGCGAAAGCCUGACGCAGCCAUGCCGCGUGAAUGAUGAAGGUCUUAGGAUUGUAAAAUUCUUUCACCGGGGACGAUAAUGACGGUACCCGGAGAAGAAGCCCCGGCUAACUUCGUGCCAGCCGCCGCCGUAAUAC